CUUUCUCUCUUCUCUCUC
rnacentral:sRNA from 1 species